rnacentral:rRNA from 1 species
UACAGAGGGUGCGAGCGUUCCUCGGAAUUACUGGGCGUAAAGCGUGCGUAGACGGUUAUUUAAGUCGGGUGUGAAAGCCCCGGGCUCAACCUGGGAAUUGCACUCGAGACUGAAUAGCUAGGGUACGGUAGAGGGAAGCGGAAUUUCCGGUGUAGCGGUGAAAUGCGCAGAUAUCAGGAGGAACACCAAUGGCGAAGGCAGCACUCUGGGACGUGACUGACGCUGAGACGCGAAAGCGUGGGGAGCAAACAGG